AUGUCAGAUCGAAAUCCCGAUGGCACACAGAGGCGUAGCCCAUGUGUGAAAGCUGGUUCCCAACCUGGUAAUAGCAAAGCUGAUGGGGAUAGUGUUGCUGUGAAGAUUGGUCCAAGCAAACUUGGUGGCUCCCCUGUUCGUCGUAGUCCACGGGUUUUGACAAAUAAGAAGCCUUCUUCUCCUCCUCUUCGAGAGCGCUCUUUGUUGGAAGAAAAUAAUAAGCGUAAAGUUCAUCCUGCGAAGGUGAACAAAGGUGUGAAGAAGCGUGCUCGUGUCGAAGCUGAAGAUGUUGUAUUUGAAGAAGAUGAUAUCGAAGUUGAUUCUGAAGAUGAAUUUGCAAUGCCUGUUAGCGUUAUGAGUCCGGUCAAGCCGGUGGGUCGCAAUGCCGGAAAAGUUGCCUUGGAUGAAGAUACGAUGACUCUUGACAUGGGUGAGGCUAAUAAGAAGCUUCGCAUCACUAGCGAUGGUAUACAACAAUUAUUUGGGUUCCCUCGUGGUGGUCGUUCUCCGCCAAGGUCGUCAGAGGAUGGAUAUGACGACGCUCUGAUGAAGUUAAGAUCGAAGCUUGACAUUAGCAGGAACAUAGAUAUCAAGACAAAGGAUUUGAGGAAUAAGCUCAAGGUGCUCGUCAGGGAUCCUAGCAAAGAUGACCUUGCUCUGAAAGUGUUCUUCAUUAUUGUGUUUAUGAAGGUUGUGUUGCCUGGUGUCGCCCCGUGUGUUUCCAGAGAGGCAGCAAUGUUUGAGGGUCUCGUCUUUGAGGACAUGGCUAAUAUGGAUUAUUGUUAG
rnacentral:rRNA from 1 species